AAUCAACGCUGGCGGCGCGCCUAAUACAUGCAAGUCGAGCGAGAAGACGUAGCAAUACGUUUGUAAAGCGGCGAACGGGUGAGGAAUACAUGGGUAACCUACCCUCGAGUGGGGAAUAACUAGCCGAAAGGUUAGCUAAUACCGCGUACGCUCCUUGGACUUCGGUUCAGGGAGGAAAGCGAUGCCGAGGGUAUCGCGCUCUUGGAUGGGCUCAUGUCCUAUCAGCUUGUUGGGAGGUAACGGCUCACCAAGGCUUCGACGGGUAGCUGGUCUGAGAGGACGAUCAGCCACACUGGCACUGCGACACGGGCCAGACUCCUACGGGAGGCAGCAGUAAGGAAUAUUGCGCAAUGGGCGAAAGCCUGACGCAGCGACGCCGCGUGGGGGAUGAAGGUCUUCGGAUUGUAAACCCCUUUCGGGAGGGAAGAUGGAUGGGGUAACCAUUCGGACGGUACCUCCAGAAGCAGCCACGGCUAACUUCGUGCCAGCAGCCGCAGUAA
rnacentral:rRNA from 1 species